CCUACGGGAGGCAGCAGUGGGGAAUAUUGGACAAUGGGGGGAACCCUGAUCCAGCCAUACCGCGUGUGUGAAGAAGGCCCUCGGGUUGUAAAGCACUUUCAGUGAGGAAGAACGCCUGGUGGUUAAUACCCAUCAGGAAAGACAUCACUCACAGAAGAAGCACCGGCUAACUCCGUGCCAGCAGCCGCGGUAAUACGGAGGGUGCGAGCGUUAAUCGGAAUUACUGGGCGUAAAGCGCGCGUAGGUGGCUUGAUAAGCCGGUUGUGAAAGCCCCGGGCUCAACCUGGGAACGGCAUCCGGAACUGUCAAGCUAGAGUGCAGGAGAGGAAGGUAGAAUUCCCGGUGUAGCGGUGAAAUGCGUAGAGAUCGGGAGGAAUACCAGUGGCGAAGGCGGCCUUCUGGACUGACACUGACACUGAGGUGCGAAAGCGUGGGUAGCAAACAGGAUUAGAUACCCUAGUAGUC
rnacentral:rRNA from 1 species